AACGAACGCUGGCGGCAGGCCUAACACAUGCAAGUCGAGCGAAGCCUUCGGGCUUAGCGGCGGACGGGUGAGUAACGCGUGGGAACGUGCCCUUUGGUACGGAAUAGCCCCGGGAAACUGGGAGUAAUACCGUAUGUGGUCGAGAGACGAAAGAUUUAUCGCCAAAGGAUCGGCCCGCGUUGGAUUAGGUAGUUGGUGGGGUAAUGGCCUACCAAGCCGACGAUCCAUAGCUGGUUUGAGAGGAUGAUCAGCCACACUGGGACUGAGACACGGCCCAGACUCCUACGGGAGGCAGCAGUGGGGAAUCUUAGACAAUGGGGGAAACCCUGAUCUAGCCAUGCCGCGUGAUAGAUGAAGGCCUUAGGGUUGUAAAGAUCUUUCAGUGGGGAAGAUAAUGACUGUACCCACAGAAGAAGCCCCGGCUAACUCCGUGCCAGCCGCCGCGGUAA
rnacentral:rRNA from 1 species